GGUGUCGGAGAGAGGCAGAUUGACAAGAAUGAGGGUUGGGUUUUCACCGGGAUGAAGAAACAGAGGAUGGGCAGGAUUAGAAAGAUGAUCGGUGGUGGAAGAUGAGAUAGCCAUGAGAAGAGAACAGAGCAGAAGAUGAAGAAAAGGGGCAAAAGAAGAACCCUAAUUAUUUUCUUUCUUCUGAUACCAUGUGAGUGUUUGAGAAAAGAGAGAAAAUAACAACUCCAAAGAAAAGCAAAAAAUUGUGAAUGAAUUCAAGCAAAAGUAUAUUGAGUUACAGCGGAAGCAAACUAUAUAUACAAAGGAAAAAGGAAAAACAGAAAUAACAAACUGUUCAAAAACAUACUAUAACACUACAGCCAAACAGUUUCUAUGUUUCCACCGUUCGGUACUAUUAAGUCGCUCGACAACCUCACGCCUAUGACCAUUCAGUAGUUUGGUAACCUUACUGACUACAUUCGUUCGGUAGCCUUCAUCCAUUCUGCCUUCAGUCGUUCGGUAGCUUGGUAACCUUACUCUCUUUAGUCGUUCGGUAGUCUACAUCUUCCUUACCGGUCGUCAUGUUCCUGCUUUCUACCGUUCAGUAACAACAGAAGAAGAGAUCUAUGAAGAUCUCUAUCAGCGACACUCUGGUCAUAGUGGUAAGGGCAAAUAACCUCCUUCCGAGCUUGUUGGAGUUGCUCGCGAUUGGAAGCAAAC
rnacentral:lncRNA from 1 species